GAUGAAGAACGCAGCUAAAUGCGAUACGUAAUGUGAAUUGCAGAAUUCAGUGAAUCAUCGAAUCUUUGAACGCACAUUGCGCCCGCCAGUAUUCUGGCGGGCAUGCCUGUCCGAGCGUCAUUUCAACCCUCGAACCCCUCCGGGGGGUCGGCGUUGGGGACCUCGGGAGCCCCUAAGACGGGAUCCCGGCCCCGAAAUACAGUGGCGGUCUCGCCGCAGCCUCUCCUGCGCAGUAGUUUGCACAACUCGCACCGGGAGCGCGGCGCGUCCACGUCCGUAAAACACCCAACUUCUGAAAUGUUGACCUCGGAUCAGGUAGGAAUACCCGCUGAACUUAAGCAUAUCAAUAAGCGGAGGA
rnacentral:misc_RNA from 1 species